UCUCUGUUCUCUGAAAUGACGUACCCAGUUUAGCGCUAUGCGUUGUACGCCUGAUUGCAGCAUUUAUAGCGAAGCAUUGUCUGCAUCCUACCAGGCACUUUCCUCUCGGUUUCUAGGCCACGUCCUCUGUACGCAGAACAAAGAAGAUGCCCCUGCUUUCAACGACUAUGAAUUGCCUAAGAACAACGUUUUUGAUGGUUCUCUUGUGCGAUUGUAUCGCACAUUACACUGGCCGACUAAUAGUAGGACAUAUUGAGACAACUACUUUAUCAGCCAUCGUAAACAAUGGCAAAUGCUACAUGAGCACUUACUACGUAAUCGAUGAUGGAUACACUCUCAACUUAACAAGUCCUUGCAUGUCAUUCAAAUGCAAUGCUUCGACAAGGACCGUGACAAUGGGAUAUUGUGUCUCUCCAAACAAGAUCCGAUAUCUUUGCCCCAUGGUCAAUACGACCAGGAAUCCUGAUUUUCCGUGGUGCUGCCCUGCUUUCAGAUGUUGAAGAUGCCGAAGCCACAAAUCUUUUUUCCAGAAAGCCAUAUCUGUCGACAUUGUUGUUUUUCUCCAGAGUGACAAACAGGGGCUUAAUAAACUUUUGAUACCUUGAA